rnacentral:rRNA from 1 species
UACGUAGGUGGCAAGCGUUAUCCGGAAUUAUUGGGCGUAAAGCGCGCGCAGGCGGUUUCUUAAGUCUGAUGUGAAAGCCCACGGCUCAAUCGUGGAGGGUCAUUGGAAACUGGGGAACUUGAGUGCAGAAGAGAAAAGCGGAAUUCCACGUGUAGCGGUGAAAUGCGUAGAGAUGUGGAGGAACACCAGUGGCGAAGGCGGCUUUUUGGUCUGUAACUGACGCUGAGGCGCGAAAGCGUGGGGAGCAAACAGG